UGGGGAAUAUUGGACAAUGGGGGCAACCCUGAUCCAGCAAUGCCGCGUGAGUGAUGAAGGCCUUCGGGUUGUAAAACUCUUUUAUUAGGGAAGAUAAUGACGGUACCUAAUGAAUAAGCUCCGGCUAACUUCGUGCCAGCAGCCGCGGUAAUACGAGGGGAGCUAGCGUUGUUCGGAAUUACUGGGCGUAAAGGGCGCGUAGGCUGUUAUGUAAGUCAGGUGUGAAAUCCUCGGGCUUAACCUGAGAAUGGCAUUUGAUACUGCAUUGACUAGAGAUCGAGAGGGGAAAGUGGAAUUACGAGUGUAGAGGUGAAAUUCGUAGAUAUUCGUAAGAACACCAGUGGCGAAGGCGACUUUCUGGCUCGAUACUGACGCUAAAGCGCGAAAGCGUGGGGAGCAA
rnacentral:rRNA from 1 species